rnacentral:lncRNA from 1 species
CAAUUCUCUUACCUCAGCCUCCAGAGUAGCUGGGACUACAGCUAUGGUCUUGGCAUUGGAUAAACGGGAGUGAACAAAACUAUCAAAACUCUCUCUCUCAUGGAGUUUACAUUUUGAUACCAGAAAUCAUGAAAACAAUGAAGACUAAAGGAACUGACAUUCCAGGAAAGGAAGAACCAUUCCUAAGAUCCAAGAAUCUUCUCUAGGGGUCUGGAUCAGGACUCCUUUCUGGUAAUAUCCUCCUGGUGAACCAUGGAGGGACGAUAUUGAGGAAACCCCCAACCCAAAAGGAAACAGACUGCAGCACCAAAUGGCCAACUCUGGGUAAGUAGUGGGGUAUCCGGGUAAAGGAUGGGAUUGGGUUAGAGGCCCAACUGAGGGGAGUUAGAGUGUCUCCUAAAAAAGAGUGGGUUAAAGGCCCCUCUUAAUAAAAGGCAAGGACAUCUGGUGGAACUUGGGUUCAAGGCCCAGCUUAGGAUGGUUAGAAUACUUCCUAAAAUUUAGGGAGUUAGAGGCCCCACUCAGUAAAGUUCCUCUCAGCUAUGAAUGGAUUUGGCAUUAUGGGGAGUUAACCACUAUUCUCUUUGGAUUAAUCUGCCUUGUACUCUUCGCUGACAGCUGUGGGUGACAGGAUUAGGCAUGUACAGGAUCACUGGACAUGGAGAGCCUUUUUUCUCCCCAAAAGGGGAAACUUGAAAGCUGGUGAGACUGUUGGAAAACCCCUUUGCAACUGACAAGUGACCGCCUGAACUUUUGAUUGAGUGUCACUGCAAUAAGUAGGUCUUUCUCUGGCCUCCCUGAGCACCUUGCCUUCCCCACCUUGCUGCAGGCAAUGAAUGCUUUUCUCCCUUUCCUAUCCUCUGUGCCCUGAGACCACAUGACAGCAGAGGUUGGAUUAAAGAUGACAGGGCCCAUCUGAGGGCAAGUUUGAACCUUGCCAAUUCCAUAUUGCAUACUAAGCAGAGUGGCUACUGUAGCGAAUCUGGUGUACUUUGUGCUGCAACUUUGUCUUUCUACAUUGCUCUGUCAUAAAGAAGAAUACCUUUAUGGACAGAACACGGGCUUAGGAUCCCAUAAGCCCAGGUUCAAGCCAGCCUGGAAAACUGGUUAAUUACAGACUUUGCUGCAAGUACCUGAAAAAAAAAAAUGCUGAAGUUUCCUUCUCAUUUUGUUCUAUGUCUUUGGGAGCUUGACCUUGUAAGAAUGGGUCAGUACUUUCUGUUGGUCUCUGCCAUCCAGGGAACAGGAGUUUUGGGGUCCAUGUCAUAGUUUGCUCAAAAAAUUAUCUUAAGCCAUUAAAAGCCUUUGCAAGCUCAAAACUGACUGCUCUAGCCUCCUUCAGGGAAGAGCAAUAGAAACUGUCCAAUGCUGUAGCUUAGUAGCUAAGGCUUUGUCUUUUCACAAUGGUGGCACAGGUUGAGGGUUCAAUUCCUGGCUUAGGGAAUAAGUCCUUUCUGGUUUGAUAUCUGUAAGACCUUUAUCAUUUGUUGACUCCCUCCCUCUCCACGAACCAUCUUGAAUUUUCCUUUCUCUGAGCACCUUGGAGGUUACCUUUGGUAAAGUUCAAAACCCAGAAAUACUGGUCAUUUGGCCUGGCUAAAGUCAGAUAAUAAGAAAUUUAAAAGAACUGUUUUUUUUUAAGAGUGCUAUGGUUAAAAGUUAGCUUAAUUAAAAGCAGAUAUUCAAGCUCUAACAGCCUGGGAUUCCCUGGGAAAAACAGAGGAGGCACGACAGACCCUGUUUUGGGAAAAACCUCUGUUUUCCUCAUGAAACCCUAGAAAUUAGAAAUAGCUAAGAUUCCUCUCAAAAUCUAAGGUUCUGUUCUGUUUUGCAUUAUGUUAUCUGACGUUUUUGACUUUGGAAGGUAUCAGAAAUUACUUUGAAUUAUGAGAGAACUACUUAAGAAAUGUAUUUUUGGGCAUGCUUAAUGGCAGUUAUAGUUUAAUACUUGACUCUGCACUUUUGGAUUAGAGAAGCAUGCUCUUGGCCCCCUAGAAGGUAUGAAAAUGUCCUCACACCCCACUGAGAGAUAAGACUCCCAUGGGAGAUGGGCUGGCUCCCUCUUUUUUUUGGGAUCCAGGAUCUGGUAUAAAAAUGGGACCCUUAAUUUGGGGGAUCUAUUUUGCAUUCCAGCUAUGCCCGCUUAUUAGGCUGUAGAAACUGCACACUUCCCUGGCCCUGUUCCUCCAGGGCUCCACCCUGAAGCCAGUAAUCCAAUUAAAAAACUGGGAAGUAAAAAAUCUUACAACUACUAGAUCUUCUGUGUAUUUAUAUAUGUUGUGUGUAGUGUAAAAAAAGCAUCUAUUGGCUUAAAACUAAUAAGUGCUUAAAUCAAGUUAUAAAUUAUGUCUUUUCUGACCUAAUUAAUCUUUUAGAUAUUAGGUCCCCUAAAGUCAAAAAAUGACAUAUUUGGCUUAUUUGGUAUGAAAAUCAUACAAGAAGCAUUGCCAAAUAUGAGAUGGUAUUUGGCUUUCUUUGGGCCGUAUUUGUAUAAAUAUGUUACUGGUAUGUGUUCUAAAAUUAUAAGAAACUCCUAUUACUCUGAAAUGACUUAGUCUAUGUUAUUAAUAAUUAUAAUUGAUAUGUAAAAUUGUUGUAUGGCACAGAAGUAAGCAAAAUUAACUUGUCAAUUGUGGCUUUAAUAGUGGCUGUCCUAAGACUUUUUGGCAUCCACAGACAAUGUUGUCUUGUAUUGAUCCUCUUCAGAAGGUGGUUUUAUAAUCAACUCUAGAACUCUAACAGGUAUUCUUGAAUGCAGGUUUCUGAUCUUUGGAGAUUCUGACUUUAGAGGAAAAAGCAUUCAGGACUCAUGGAGAGCUGAAAUGUUCGUGACUAUUAAGCAAGACAGGUAUUAACCACAUGGACCUAACUAAUAGAGGACAAAAAUAAUCUUUUUUGACUUUUUGCUUAAAAUGUUGCUGAUCCUUUGUUUAGUUUUUAAGAAUCAAGGAAACUCUUCUUUUGAGCUAUUAACAGCUUUUAAUAAUUAAGUAAAGUAUACUCCUGUGAACAAAAUUUGGAGCAUAUUUGUUUCUACCUGA